UACGUAGGGUGCAAGCGUUGUCCGGAAUUAUUGGGCGUAAAGAGCUCGUAGGCGGUUUGUUGCGUCGGCUGUGAAAUCCCGAGGCUCAACCUCGGGUCUGCAGUCGAUACGAGCAAACUAGAGUGCGGUAGGGGAGACUGGAAUUCCUGGUGUAGCGGUGAAAUGCGCAGAUAUCAGGAGGAACACCGGUGGCGAAGGCAGCUCUCUGGGACGGUACUGACGCUGAGACGCGAAAGCGUGGGGAGCGAACAGG
rnacentral:rRNA from 1 species